rnacentral:rRNA from 1 species
GACGGAUGGUGCAAGCGUUGCUCGGAAUCACUGGGCGUAAAGGGUGCGUAGGCGGCCGCGCAAGUCUGGCGUGAAAGCCCCGGGCUCAGCCCGGGAAGGGCGCUCGAAACGGCGCGGCUCGAGUGCCGGAGGGGAGAGUGGAAUUCCUGGUGUAGCGGUGAAAUGCGUAGAUAUCAGGAGGAAUACCGGUGGCGAAAGCGACUCUCUGGACGGCAACUGACGCUGAGGCACGAAAGCGUGGGGAGCAAACAGG